rnacentral:rRNA from 1 species
CUGGAGUACUCGAGUGGCGAACGGGUGAGUAACACGUGGGUAAUCUGCCCUGCACUCUGGGAUAAGCCUGGGAAACUGGGUCUAAUACUGGAUAUGACCUUUCUCCUUAUGGGGUUUGGUGGAAAGUUUUUCGGUGUAGGAUGAGCCCGCGGCCUAUCAGCUUGUUGGUGGGGUGAUGGCCUACCAAGGCGGCGACGGGUAGCCGGCCUGAGAGGGUGUACGGCCACAUUGGGACUGAGAUACGGCCCAG